rnacentral:rRNA from 1 species
AUUGAACGCUGGCGGCAUGCUUUACACAUGCAAGUCGAACGGCAGCACGGGCUUCGGCCUGGUGGCGAGUGGCGAACGGGUGAGUAAUGCAUCGGAACGUACCGUGUAAUGGGGGAUAACGUAGCGAAAGUUACGCUAAUACCGCAUACGCCCUGAGGGGGAAAGUGGGGGACCGCAAGGCCUCACGUUAUACGAGCGGCCGAUGUCGGAUUAGCUAGUUGGUGGGGUAAAGGCCUACCAAGGCGACGAUCCGUAGCGGGUCUGAGAGGAUGAUCCGCCACACUGGGACUGAGACACGGCCCAGACUCCUACGGGAGGCAGCAGUGGGGAAUUUUGGACAAUGGGCGCAAGCCUGAUCCAGCCAUGCCGCGUGAGUGAAGAAGGCCUUCGGGUUGUAAAGCUCUUUCAGGUGGAAAGAAAUCGCACUUUCUAAUACAAGGUGUGGAUGACGGUACCAUCAGAAGAAGCACCGGCUAACUACGUGCCAGCCGCCGCAGUAACAC